rnacentral:rRNA from 1 species
AUUGAACGCUGGCGGCAGGCCUAACACAUGCAAGUCGAGCGGAUGAAGGGAGCUUGCUCCUGGAUUCAGCGGCGGACGGGUGAGUAAUGCCUAGGAAUCUGCCUGGUAGUGGGGGAUAACGUCCGGAAACGGGCGCUAAUACCGCAUACGUCCUGAGGGAGAAAGUGUGUGAUCUUCUGACCUCACGCUAUCAGAUGUGCCUAGGUCGGAUUAGCUAGUUGGUGGGGUAAAGGCCUACCAAGGCGAAGAUCCGUAACUGGUCUGAGAGGAUGAUCAGUCACACUGGAACUGAGACAAGGUACAGAAGCCUACGGGAGGCAGCAGUGGGGAAUAUUGGAAAAUGGGCGAAAGCAUGAUCCAGCAAUGCCGCGUGUGUGAAGAAGGUAUUCGGAUUGUAAAGCACUUUAAGUUGGGAGGAAGGGAAGUAAGUGAAUACCUUGAUGUUUUGACGUUACCAACAGAAUAAGCACCGGCUAACUUCGUG